CGGAACAGUGAUCCACCUCUGUUCUCACACUUUCAUUGAUUUGCUUGAAAUUUACUCGUGCAAAUACUUCAUUCCCCAUUUGAUGUGAACCCAGCAUGAAAGUGUCAUUAUCGCUACCUGUUGUUUCGACAUGCUCUUCACACGCAUUAUAUUGUGGUUUUGCGUUGUUUUUUUGUUUUGUUUUGUUUUUUUUGUUUUGUUUUUUUUGUUUUUUAACAAAAGCAGGACAAAAAUAAUAGUGUACAUGUAGACAUGGGCUGAAAUAAAACUUUUUAAAACUCAGGGGCCAGGGGUGAAGACUUUCUGAAACUCCGGGUACCAUGUGGUCAUGUGGACACUACAAGUGGAGAUUUCACCUUUCACCGUCGUUUUCUCCUUUCUGAUUGGCCAACACUACUGGGUUGCAAACCAACAGCUUUGCUGUACCGGCCCUUACAGAGUGGCGGGAAAAUGCAACAAACAUUGUGGAUCAUGGAACACAUAACGUUGCAACCCUUCAUGAACAGCUAAAUACUGUUUGCCGUACACUGACAUGGUCUCACCCUGUCUUUGGGUCUCACAGCUUGGCAGGUCUGCUUUGCCUUUGGAAAGCAUGCACUCUCAUGAAUAGUUAAGAAUCAGGGUCUUCUCAUAGGAUAAGAAAACUCAGCUAUGAAUGAUAAUGAGAUACCGACACGUCAUCACUGCACUAGCAGAUUCUCGCUAAGUCACAGAUUUUUCUCCCGCCCCAAAAAUUAUUUCAAACCGGGAAAAUUAAAUUAGCUGACAAAAGCUCAAAAUCAUUCAGUUUUACCCACAAUUUAAGCUGACAGGUGCUCUCAAAAACAGUACUCCAGAGUGUCUUGAACCUUUAAGCUUUUUUUAAUGCGACUUUCUGAAAUGCACAUAAAACAGGAGGAUAUUAAAAUAGCUAUAGAGGGUUCCACUUAGAAGCUUUUACUUUACACAUAAUAUUUCCAUUCCACGGAAGGUUCUUUAAAGUCAGAUUUUAAAAAUGUCCUAAAAAACAAAACCAAGAAAAGGUUCUCUAGGAAUCGUAAAAAUAAGAUCCUCUAUGACAUCAGAGGAACCAUAUUUUUCAAAACGAAAGCAACAAUCUUAAAAGAGAAACGCCAACUGCUGUCCGGGGAGAAAAUUGGUGCUAAUUUGAAAAUUGGCAGUGGUUCAGAUGGACUGACACGUCUCCCGGCUGAUCCGGCCUUCCUUAUGGACUGAGUGUGACUUCAUACAGGGGAUUUUCCACUUAGCCCAGUGGAUUUUGCAUUAUUUCUCGUCAGUUUGCUUUGUUUGUGUGAGUAGAGCGGACGUGCAUCCACGAUACGCACUAAUCUCCGUCUCAUCAGAGCGACGGGUGCGAGGCAUUUAUAGCAGAUGUCCAUUAGCAGCCGAUCAGCAGGGUCUGUCUCCGCAGGGGCCAUGACAGCUCCUGAGUGUGUGUGUGUGUGUUUGGGAUGGAUCGGGCUCUUCGCUGGUCCUGUGGAUUUCUCCCUCGCCCCACGGAGGCGUCUCGGACACAAGCUGCCGUCCCCCCCGACCCCCCUGCCUCGGAGAUCAGGAACCCACUUAUCCAGCCACGCCAUUGUCUCGCGUGUCCACACACAUCUGUUCUGCUUGGGCAACACCGCCACUGACAGACAGUCCAUUGUUCCUGCGGCCGGUAGGAGGACGCACUCACAGUUUGGGCUUUGGGAUGGCACGGUGAGGCAGUCUAUCUGGCUGGAUCUCUGAGCGAUAAUGGCUAAUGAAUAGGCAGCACCUGGUUCCUUCAUGGAGAGGAGGAGGAGGAGGAGGAGGAUGAAGAUGAUGCCAGAGAUGUGAACUCAGCCAAAGCACCAGAUCAGACCGCCUGAGUUCCUCACAUCCAUGGCUUGUGAUUCAAUUACAAUCCUGAUCCUGAGGAGCGGCAACUCUUAAAUGAACAAAAGAACUUCAGCCAAUUCGAAUUCUGCAGGAAUGACAAUAAAGUUACACUUCACUGUAACAAAAUCCUGUAAAAUUUACAGCAUUAGUGGCAAUUUUGGUGGCCAUUAAUACUGUAAAACUGACAAGCGCACUGUAAAUCAAUCAUUAAAACUGUGUUGUUAUUCUAAGCAUAAAAAUAGUACAUUUUAACAGU